rnacentral:rRNA from 2 species
GUGCGAGACCGAUAGCGAACAAGUACCGUGAGGAAAAGAUGAAAAGAACUUUGAAAAGAGAGUUAAAGAGUACCUGAAACUGCUGAAAGGGAACCGAAUCAUAUCCAGUGUCUAUAAUCCAUGGCAUAUUUCAUUGGCGAGUGAGUGCGUGCAGCGUUUUGGAAGUGGUUUUCCGCUCCUGUCGUUGUUGUGCAUUUGCUUGCUGGUGCCCUGUGCUGUGGUGGGACGUCAGAGUCAGUUUGUGUGUCGCGGGAAAUGGUUAUUGGGGAGGUAGGUCGCUUCGGUGGCUAUUAUAUCCUGGUAACUAGUCGUCGUGGCUGAGACUGAGGUGCCUACAAUGUGCUUUCGAGUGUGCGGGAUUCUCGUGUGGCUGUUUGCUUUGAUAGCUUGCUAUGUUGGUGAAUAAGUCGUGCGAUUGAGACUUGUAUUAACUUGUUGCUGUUCGGGACUUUGA